rnacentral:rRNA from 1 species
CGUAGGUGGCAAGCGUUGUCCGGAUUUAUUGGGUUUAAAGGGUGCGUAGGCGGUCCUAUAAGUCAGUGCUGAAAUAUCCCGGCUUAACCGGGAGGGUGGCAUUGAUACUGUAAGACUUGAGUAAAGUUGAGGUUGGCGGAAUUGACGGUGUAGCGGUGAAAUGCUUAGAUAUCGUCAAGAACACCUAUUGCGAAGGCAGCUAACUAAGCUUUAACUGACGCUGAGGCACGAAAGUGUGGGGAUCAAACAGGAUUAGAUACCCUGGUAGUCCACACUGUAAACGUUGAUUACUCGCUGUUGGCGAUACACAGCCAGCGGCUUAGCGCAAGCGAUAAGUAAUCCACCUGGGGAGUACGCCGGCAACGGUG